CAGCCGCCGCGGGAAAACGUAGGUGGCAAGCGUUGUCCGGAAUUAUUGGGCGUAAAGGGCUCGCAGGCGGUUUCUUAAGUCUGAUGUGAAAGCCCCCGGCUCAACCGGGGAGGGUCAUUGGAAACUGGGAAACUUGAGUGCAGAAGAGGAGAGUGGAAUUCCACGUGUAGCGGUGAAAUGCGUAGAGAUGUGGAGGAACACCAGUGGCGAAGGCGACUCUCUGGUCUGUAACUGACGCAGAGGAGCGAAAGCGUGGGGAGCGAACAGGAUUAGAUACCCGCGUAGUCCCUGUCUCUUAUAC
rnacentral:rRNA from 1 species